UGGAACUUCUCAUUCCUGUAUUUAACAAUGAGGAAGAGAAAAAGAAAUCCUUGGCAUAGUGAUUUUCCUUGUUACUUUCUGUGAUUGUUUAGUUUCUCUUUGCAUCCUGAAUAUUCCAGGUGCUGAAAUAAACAUGUAUUUUCUAGAAGAGUUAUAUUUUGAAGUAAUUAAAACAUCCAGUCUUGCAAUUAAAAAAAAAGUUGUUUGCAAUGCUGUGAGGGCUGAUUUCUAGACCUAGAAAUUUGUUGAAGAAAAUUUAUUUAUAUAAAGUAAGAAGAAAGUGUCAAUGUAGGAAAUAGGUAUUCUCAUGCUGAUUUGUAAGACAAAAGAAGGGGGGAGGUGGGAGUGGAUAGAGACAAGAUCACUUGGAAGUAAAACAAUAUCUGUCUCAAGGCUAUUCAUAAAUAACCACACAAUUCAUUUAUAGAUUUAUUUCUAUCUAUUUUCCUUUCUACUGUAUUACCAUGCCUGUCGCUGAGACAUAGAUAUAAACUUGGAAUUGCAUUAUUGAAGUUGCUUUCUCAAUUACUUUUCUAGCAUAAUUACUUUUGUACUAGAGAGUUUUAAAAAUCAAUGGUGUUCUUUGCAAUAUCUUUGUAACAGUUAAUUAAUAUUACAACUCAUGCUAGCAAAGUUAUUCUGCUUAGUAAAAAGAACCUUGCUUUUAACAUCCCCAACCAGUAAGAAAAGCAAUGGGCAAAGUAUAUUUAUUUAAGGAUAUAGUUUAAAAUAACUGCCCAAUUCUGGUAGAGUUGAGAGCAGACUAUACAAACAUCAAUGACUCCAACUGAAGGUAGCAAUGAAUGAAGUUGUCAAUAAUUAUUUUAAUAUUAGAAGCUCUCUAAAUCUUCUAAGAACAUGUCUUUGGUUUGUGUUGAGGCUUGAUUGAUUUUAGCUUGUCCACCAUUAUAUUCAAGUAUUACUUAAUAGAAUUGUUAAGUAAUAUAAUAUACCAAUUCUAAUAACUAUUUCAGCUCUUCUGAUUCUCAUCAAUGUGUGUUAAUGAUUAUCUUCUAAUGAAUGGUCAAAAAAAUUUGGCUUUCUAUAAUUGGUCUCAAGUUUUUCAUCCUUAAAAUAGAUACAGACUCUGAAGGUCUUAGUUGGAUUGAUAUGUGGAAUAACCAUUACAAAUGAAUUACUAAGAAGUUUGCAAAUACAAAAGUUCUGUAAUAGAUAUUAAUAAUAAUUUUAGGUAGACACUUGUAAUUGUAACUUUGAGUGACUACUUCAAGGGUUGACUCCUCUUUUAUGUUAGAGUUUGCUCAGAUCUUUUCAAAACAGCUCCCUGUUCAUUGACAUCUUUAAUUCUUUUUGACAGAAAGCGUCAAAACCUUUCCUUCAACAGAAUGUUCAGUAACCUUCACCAAAUAGCCAUUAAUUAAGCAAUUAAAAUAAAUUUGAAGAAAAAAGAACUUUGAGAGGAGACUAGAAUUAACUCAAAAGAUAGUUUAAAAAUAGUUUUCUAGCACUUGAGUCAUUAUUGACCAAAAAGUUCCUAAGGGAUAUUAACAAUGCAUUUGAUAGUUGCCAAGGAAACCUUAACCUUUCCUGAGAAUGUCUGCCCUUCUGCAUUGUACCUGAUUGUCAGAAUAAGUUCAGCAACUGAUUAUAACUGAGCCAUUUUCAACAUCAAGCUUUUUCUUGUCAAUCCCUUUUCAAAGAAUAAGCUCAAGUAUUCAGGAUAUCUUACUCUGUAUCUGUUUUUAUGUCACUGAGGAUUCAUACUUCAAAUAUGGAGAUUCUUUAUUAACAAUUUCCCCCAAAAUUCUGAUUUCCUGGAGACAAAUCAGUCCUAAUUUAGAGACAAGGAAACUGAGGUACUUAAUGUUUUUAUUGUGUGAGGAUAAUUCUGUCAUAACGCUUACUGGCUUCCUUUGUUCAGAACAUUUCUUUUUUUUUUUUUUUUUUUUUUUUUUUUUGUCUUUUGUCUGUUGUUGUUGCUAUCUCUUGCCUGGGAACCUCCAUAUGCCACAGGGAGCGGCCCAAGAAAUAGCAAAAAGACAAAAAAAAAAAAAUGCUGUUAGAGUAUGACAAACUUUAUGUAAAGAACCAACAAGAUGUGUACUUUCUCCAGCUUCUUUCAUGCCAUAUCUUGCAUAGAUUUUGUACUUUUUCCCUGGAGUCUGUGAGUAUGUCUAAGAGAAUUUUUUUAUUGUGCUAAAAUAUGCAUAACAAAAUUAAUCCUUUUAAUAAUUUAAACUGUUCAAUUCAGUGGCGUUAAAUACAUUCACAUUUUUGUGCAACCA
rnacentral:lncRNA from 1 species